rnacentral:misc_RNA from 1 species
CUAUGGCAAAUAAUGCUGCCUCUUGCGCCGAGAGGGCUACAAGUGACAUGUUGAUUGCCCCAGACUGGGCCAUAAACAUUGAGCUUUGUGAUAUAAUCAACAUGGAUCCUGGGCAAGCAAAGGAUGCCUUCAAAGUACUCAAGAAGCGACUAGGAAGCAAAAAUCCUAAGAUACAACUUCUUGCUCUUUUUGUCAGUAUUAUUUGCUUUUCAAACUUUGUCUACUUAUUUUUCUGAAUUUAACUUAAUCAACUGUGUAAAAUAACAUGCCACUGUGCAUUUUGUUUUGGCAUUCUGUAAAUUAUUUGGAACAAAAGUGCUAAGAUUAUGACCAUAAAAAAUAUGUAAAUAAAGAUGCAUUACAUAGUUGUUGUGGGCGCCUUUCUGUCUUGCUGUUUUACAUUAUAACAGAGAAGUAAUUUUCUCUUUAUCAUUGUGUUUGUGUGGGAAUAUUUUGAUUUAGGCAUUGGAGACUGUCAGCAAAAAUUGUGGUGAGAAUAUAUUUCAGCAGAUCAUUGACCGAGACAUCCUGCAUGAUAUGGUUAAAAUAGUGAAGAAGAAGCCAGAUUUGAAUGUGAGAGAAAAGAUACUUAUCUUGAUAGACACAUGGCAAGAAGCUUUUGGGGGACCAAGGGGAAGGUAUCCCCAGUACCAUGCUGCAUAUAAUGAACUAAGGGCUGCCGGAGUUGAGUUUCCACCCCGAGCGGAGAACAGUGUGCCGCUUUUUACUCCUCCCCAAACACAGCCAAUAGUUGAUGCACCUUCAGCAUAUGAAGAUGUUGCUAUUCAAGCCUCUCUGCAAUCUGAUGCUUCAGGUCUCAGCUUACCAGAGAUUCAAAAUGCUAGGGGACUAGCAGAUGUGUUAAUGGAAAUGCUUAGUGCCUUGGAUCCUAAGAACCCUGAGGGGUUGAAAGAAGAGGUGAUUGUUGACCUUGUUGACCAGUGCCGUUCUUACCAAAAGCGCGUCAUGCUUCUUGUGAAUAGCACAGCAGAUGAAGGUCUUCUGUGUCAGGGAUUGGCAUUGAAUGAUAACUUGCAGCGUGUACUUCGUCGGCAUGAUGAUAUCGUGAAAGGUAUCCCUACCGCAGCAGAAAGGGAAGCUGACACACCAGUUGUGCCACUUGUUGUUAUUAACCAUGAUGAAGAUGAGACAGAAGAUGACUUUGCCCAGCUGGCUCAUAGGUCAUCAAGAGAAAAUUCACAAGGACGUGCCAAGAAACCAGUCAGUGUUAGGACUGAACCAUCGCGACUGAGCCCUCUUCUUCCUCCUCCUCCUGCAUCAAAGAAGCCAGUCAGCACAGACUCUGGCACGAUUGAUUAUCUCAGUGGUGAUGUCUACAAGUCUUCUCAGAAUUCGGAGCCCACAUCCAAUACUGUUCCUCUUCAUUUCAGCACAAACUUCUCACCUCCACAUUCUCCAACUUUGUCUGCCUCAUCUCCUCCUUCUCAUGCUGUAAAUUCCUCACCUUUGUUCUCUGGGCAGCAGUUAUACGAUGAACCAGUUCCAUUAAGCAAAUCUGCUGAUCAGCUACCUCCAGCACCUUGGGAUACACCUUCUCGUGGAUUUCUUCCACCCCCUCCUUCCAGGUAUAAUCAGAGACAGCAAUUCUUUGAGGAACAUCAUGGACCUAUUGGCAGUGCAACUAAUUCAAGUAGUGGUUCUGGUUCCUCUUAUGAUAGCUUAGUUGGACAAACCCAGAAUAUGUCGCUUAAUUCAUCUACCUCCACCAAACAAGCAAAACCUGAAGACGCUCUCUUCAAAGAUCUGGUUGAUUUUGCAAAAGCCAAGUCGUCUUCAUCGUCCAAACCCAAUAGAUCAUUUUAGUCAGUAUAGUUUAUGUGUUGGUACAGCUUAUGGAUACUCCGAGAUUAUCAGGUUUUGCAUCAGACCAUGAGAUUGAUUGCCAGUUAAUAAAUGUCGGUUUAAACUUUUGAGUUAUGGCUUGUCUAUGCUGUGGCAGAAGUUUAUGUUCAUAUGAACUGCGUAUUGAAUUUAUUCGUACAUAUUUCUUAAGAAUGUGAUUGUGUAAUAUAUUGCUGUGCUAGAAUGAAUUCCCAUUCGUUGCUU